UACGAAGGGGGCUAGCGUUGCUCGGAAUCACUGGGCGUAAAGCGCACGUAGGCGGCUUUGUAAGUUAGAGGUGAAAGCCCAGGGCUCAACCCUGGAAUUGCCUUUAAGACUGCAUCGCUUGAACAUCGGAGAGGUAAGUGGAAUUCCGAGUGUAGAGGUGAAAUUCGUAGAUAUUCGGAAGAACACCAGUGGCGAAGGCGACUUACUGGACGAUUGUUGGACGCUGAGGUGCGAAAGCGUGGGGAGCAAACAGG
rnacentral:rRNA from 1 species